ACAUCGGACGUGUCCAGUAAUGGGGGAUAACUUAGCGAAAGUUAGGCUAAUACAGCAUACGAUCUGCGGAUGAAAGCGGGGGAUGCAGCACUAAAAGAUUCUGGCAGAGUACAGUCAAAGGCGAUCCAAGAGUUGGUGGUGCUGCACCUCGCGUUAUUGGAGCGGAUGAUGUAUGAUUAGCUAGUUGAUGAGGUAAUGGCAUACCAAGGCGAUGAUCAUUAGCUGGUUUGAGAGGACGGCCAGCCACACUGGGAUUGAGACACGGCCCAGACUCCUACGGGAGGCAUCAGUGGGGAAUUUUGCACAAUGCCCGAAAGGGUGAUGCAGCAACGCCGCGUGAGGGAUGAAGGCAUUCGGGUCGUAAACCUCUUUCGAUCGGGAUAAACGGACGGGUGAUAGCCCGUCCUGAUGGUACCGGAUGAAGAAGCCCCGGCUAAAUACGUGCCAGCA
rnacentral:rRNA from 1 species